AAUAAUUGGUAAGACAUAUUCUGCAUCACAGGAAAUCUUAAGAAAAAUAGUUGGAUUCUUGAAACGGCGAAGAAAUCCUGUCCCUAAAGAUGAUGCAUUAGCAAUACGAUCCUUAGGAUGAAAAGAAGAGGGAAUCAGCUGAGCAGAUGAGUGCCAUCUUGUUUCUUCUUGAAAUCCACCCAUAUGCAUUUUGUAGUGCUUCAUAGUCUCUGAAACGAGAACGACAGCUUCAAUAUAAUCAUCACCCGG
rnacentral:misc_RNA from 1 species